UACCCAGACAGCAUUUACAUCUGUGCCAGAUCCGUUUUUGAAUCAGCAGAUUCGCGCAGCAGUCGCACUCACUAUGCAGAUCUGCACCAACUUUGCGCCAGACUUGUCUAUAGCUUCUGACUGUGACAGUCCAUCCAGCGGGUGCGGCGCCUAUCCGGGGCAGCUUCGCAGACCAGACGCGCCACAACUGAAUUGAGUCCGCCCGGCGGGUGUGGGCCAGAUUCGCAGGAGCUGUGCAGACCUGACGCGCCACAACUAACGGAACACUUUUCCCCCACAUAAACCUGCAACUCUGCGUUAUGUGAUUAUGCAGAGUGGAAGACUACAGGCUGCACCGUCUUUGUGAUUAUUGGAGCAGUGAGGAAGAAUCGCAGGUUGAUGCCUAACUUUAACGUUAGUCCAUUGGGCUAGUUUUUGCCCUGGUCCUCUGACAUCCAUCCGUGAAUGGCGCUGCUAUUCACCGUCUGCUCGAAAAUAUUUCUCAGGACCGCUACUAGCCUCUGCGAGAGAUCUGCCGCUGCCGCGACCAAGGAACUGCUGCUGACCUGCGAGCUGCCAUGAUGGCAGCCUGCCCUGCAGUCUGGAUUGAGUAGCCUAGCUAACGUCUAAGAACUCUCACGAAAAAACAAACUGUCGCUGUCAAAGUCCACCGACCUGCUGAUCUGCAGGAUCGCCCAACUGUUCUGUGCUUUCAGUGCUCCCCAGACUGCCAGUAAUCUUCCUCCGACACAGCUGAGCGCCGUCGUCGUCAUCAUCGGGACAUCAGCCGGUUAGAUGCAACGGACUAUGUUAACAUGACAUUUUCUUUCAGUGCGUUUAGCGGAGUUUGUUUAUCAACAUAAGCCUUAUAUUUCACAUAUUGGUUUGUGUUAUGUUGUAGGCCUAGGCCUAAGCUUAGGCUAGCGGACACAGUGUUCUCUUUUGCCUUUUUAAAAUAAAAAACUAUUUUGAAAAUUA